UGGCUGAUUACAAGUUUGAAGACACCUGUGAUGCUAAUUACAGGACACACCAUAGUUUAACAUGUCCCUAUGGUCCUAUACAUAUAGCUCCAGGUAAUCACUGUGUUGUUUGGUAUCAUGGUGUCUACCACACUGAACAUGGACC